rnacentral:rRNA from 1 species
GUUAGGUGAACCUGCGGAAGGAUCAUUAUUGAAAUAAACCUGAUGAGUUGUUGCUGGUUCUCUAGAGAGCAUUGUGCACGCUUGUCAUCUUUAUGUCUCCACCUGUGCACAUUUUGUAGACCUGGAUCACUCUCUGAAAUGCUAACCAGCAUUUGAGGUUGGAGGAAUUUGACUUUGUUGUCUUUCCUUGCAUUUCUAGGUCUAUGUUCUUUUUCAUAUAAUCCUAUUGUGAUAUAAUGGACCCUAUAUAAUAUAAACCUAUACAACUUUCAGCAACGGAUCUCUUGGCUCUCGCAUCGAUGAAGAACGCAGCGAAAUGCGAUAAGUAAUGUGAAUUGCAGAAUUCAGUGAAUCAUCGAAUCUUUGAACGCACCUUGCGCUCCUUGGUAUUCCGAGGAGCAUGCCUGUUUGAGUGUCAUUAAUAUAUCAACCUCUUUAAAUUUUGAGAGUGUUUGGAUGUGGGGGUGUUAUUUUGCUGGCCUUCUUAAGGUCAGCUCCCCUAAAAUGUAUUAGCGGAACAAUUUGUUGACCGUUCAUUGGUGUGAUAGCAUAUCUACGCUAUUGACGUGAAGCAAGUUCAGCUUAUAACAGUCCAUUGACUUGGACAAUUCUCUAUUUAUUAAUGUGACCUCAAAUCAGGUAGGACUACCCGCUGAACUUAA